CCCCCUCCCACAGUAAGUAGUCAAACCGUUUAAGAACAGUUUGACAACUUACCUGAGAUCUGCUGGGAAAUGGGGCUGUAGUAGGGCAUAGGAGCAGUGUGUGUGUGUGAGUGGUGCAAUGUGUAAGGGGUGCAGUGUGUGUGUGAAGGUUGUAGUGUGUGAGUGAGGGCGGCAGUGUAUGUCAGGGAUGCAGUGUAUGUGUGGGACAGUAUGUGUGUGUAACAGUUGCAGUGUGUGUGUAUGGGGGGCAGUGUGUGUGUAUGGGGGGGCAGUAUGUGUGUAUGUGGGAGCAGUGUGUGUAUGUGGGGGCAGUGCGUGUGUAUGAG